AGGUUCACUGGGGGAAGGAGACCAAAGCCCUGAGCCUUUGUGGUUGUAACAUGAGCACAAAACCAUCAUCCUGAGUCUGAAGACAGAAACAGGAGCUCUAAGAAAGAACAAACCUCAUUAAGAAGAGCUGUGCCUAACUGACAGGUGGAGAAGAGCUGGAAGGCUAAUGUCACUAGACAGAAGAUACAAAAAGGCGA